rnacentral:rRNA from 1 species
AGAGUUUGAUCAUGGCUCAGAACGAACGCUGGCGGCGUGCUUAACACAUGCAAGUCGAGUGCGCGGUUGUAGCAAUACAACUGGCGCACGGCGCACGGGUGCGUAACACGUGGGCAAUCUGCCCUUCGAUGGGGAAUAACUCCGGGAAACCGAAGCUAAUUCCGCAUAACAUUCCUUGGACUUCGGUUCGAGGACUCAAAGCCGCAAGGCGUCGAAGGAGGAGCCCGCGCCCGAUUAGCUAGUUGGUGAGGUAACGGCUCACCAAGGCAAUGAUCGGUAGCUGGUCUGAGAGGAUGGCCAGCCACACUGGAACUGAGACACGGUCCAGACUCCUACGGGAGGCAGCAGUGGGGAAUCUUGCGCAAUGGGCGAAAGCCUGACGCAGCGACGCCGCGUGGGGGAUGAAGCAUUUCGGUGUGUAAACCCCUUUCGACUGGGACGAAUACCUCGCAAGAGGGGUGACGGUACCAGUAGAAGAAGCCCCGGCUAACUACGUGCCAGCAGCCGCGGUAAGACGUAGGGGGCCAGCGUUGUUCGGAAUUACUGGGUGUAAAGGGUUCGUAGGCGGUGUGGCAAGUCGGAAGUGAAAUCUAUGGGCUUAACCCAUAGGCUGCUUCCGAAACUGCCGUGCUUGAGUGUGGGAGAGGCGCGUGGAAUUGCAGGUGUAGCGGUGAAAUGCGUAGAUAUCUGCAGGAACACCCGUGGCGAAAGCGGCGCGCUGGACCACUACUGACGCUGAGGAACGAAAGCUAGGGGAGCAAACAGGAUUAGAUACCCUAGUAGUCC